rnacentral:rRNA from 1 species
CGGGACGGGUGGGUAAUGUCUGGGAAACUGCCUGAUGGAGGGGGAUAACUACUGGAAACGGUAGCUAAUACCGCAUAACGUCGCAAGACCAAAGAGGGGGACCUUCGGGCCUCUUGCCAUCGGAUGUGCCCAGAUGGGAUUAGCUAGUAGGUGGGGUAACGACUCACCUAGGCGACGAUCCCUAGCUGGUCUGAGAGGAUGACCAGCCACACUGGAACUGAGACACGGUCCAG